GGAUGUGAGGGCGAUCUGGCUGCAACAUCUGUUACCCUAUUGAUUGCCAGGGUUGAUUCAGUUGAUCUGGCUGGCUAGGCGAGUGUCCCCUUCCUCCCUCACAGCUCCUCCCAAAGCUGCGUGCUCAGCUGAAGAGGACAGCCUUCCCUGAAUAGAGAUGGACUGAUCUUUGGUGGAGGGUAUAAGAGUAGCUGCGCUCCCCUGCUAGAACCUCAAAACAAGCUUUCAAAUAUAUCUGACACUAUUCAGGGGGGCAGGUGGUGACAUACCUGGUUAACUGCACAUAGUACUGAGCACAAGGACCUGCUCAGUG
rnacentral:snRNA from 1 species